rnacentral:rRNA from 1 species
GUCACACUAUCAUUACGUGAAUACAUAGCGUAAUGAAGCGAACCGGGGGAACUGAAACAUCUAAGUACCCCGAGGAAAAGAAAUCAACCGAGAUUCCCCCAGUAGCGGCGAGCGAACGGGGAGCAGCCCAGAGUCUGAAUCAGCAUGUGUGUUAGUGGAAGCGUCUGGAAAGUCGCACGAUACAGGGUGAAAGUCCCGUACACAAAAGUGCAUGUGUUGUGAACUCGAAGAGUAGGGCGGGACACGUGGUAUCCUGUCUGAAUAUGGGGGGACCAUCCUCCAAGGCUAAAUACUCCUGACUGACCGAUAGUGAACCAGUACCGUGAGGGAAAGGCGAAAAGAACCCCUGUGAGGGGAGUGAAAUAGAACCUGAAACCGUGUACGUACAAGCAGUGGGAGCCGACUUGUUCGGUGACUGCGUACCUUUUGUAUAAUGGGUCAGCGACUUAUAUUCUGUAGCAAGGUUAACCGAAUAGGGGAGCCGAAGGGAAACCGAGUCUGAUAAGGGCGCAUAGUCGCGGGCAGUAGACCCGAAACCGGGUGAUCUAGUCAUGCCCAGGGUGAAGGUGCGGUAACACGCACUGGAGGCCCGAACCCACUCCCGUUGCAAAGGUAGGGGAUGAGGUGUGAUUAGGAGUGAAAAGCUAAUCGAACCCGGAGAUAGCUGGUUCUCCUCGAAAGCUAUUUAGGUAGCGCCUCAUGUAUCACUGUAGGGGGUAGAGCACUGUUUCGGCUAGGGCGGUCAUCCCGACUUACCAAACCGAUGCAAACUCCGAAUACCUACAAGUGCCGAGCAUGGGAGACACACGGCGGGUGCUAACGUCCGUCGUGAAAAGGGAAACAACCCAGACCCACAGCUAAGGUCCCAAAUUUUGUGCUAAGUGGAAAACCAUGUGGGAAGGCUUAGACAGCUAGGAGGUUGGCUUAGAAGCAGCCACCCUUUAAAGAAAGCGUAAUAGCUCACUAGUCGAGUCGGCCUGCGCGGAAGAUGUAACGGGGCUCAAAUAUAGCACCGAAGCUGCGGCAUCAGUAGCAAUACUGUUGGGUAGGGGAGCGUUCUGUAAGCGGAUGAAGGUGAAUCGAGAGGUUUGCUGGACGUAUCAGAAGUGCGAAUGCUGACAUAAGUAACGAUAAAACGGGUGAAAAACCCGUUCGCCGGAAGACCAAGGGUUCCUGUCCAACGUUAAUCGGGGCAGGGUGAGUCGACCCCUAAGGCGAGGCCGAAAGGCGUAGUCGAUGGGAAACAGGUUAAUAUUCCCGUACUUGGAUAAACUGCGAUGUGGGGACGGAGCAGGUUAGGUUAUCGCACUGUUGGAUAUGUGCGUUUAAGUUGGUAGGUGUGAAGUUUAGGCAAAUCCGGACUUCUUUAACACCGAGAGAUGAUGACGAGGCUCUACGGAGCUGAAGUAACCGAUACCACACUUCCAGGAAAAGCCACUAAGCUUCAGGCUUUAUCUAAACCGUACUGAAAACCGACACAGGUGGUCAGGUAGAGAAUACUCAGGCGCUUGAGAGAACUCGGGUGAAGGAACUAGGCAAAAUAGCACCGUAACUUCGGGAGAAGGUGCGCCGGCGUAGAUUGUAGUGAUUUACUCAUGAAGGUUGAACCGGUCGAAGAUACCAGCUGGCUGCAACUGUUUAUUAAAAACACAGCACUCUGCAAACACGAAAGUGGACGUAUAGGGUGUGAUGCCUGCCCGGUGCUGGAAGGUUAAUUGAUGGUGUAAUCGAAAGAGAAGCUCCUGAUCGAAGCCCCAGUAAACGGCGGCCGUAACAAUAACGGUCCUAAGGUAGCGAAAUUCCUUGUCGGGUAAGUUCCGACCCGCACGAAAGGCGUAAUGAUUUGGGCACUGUCUCAACGAGAGACUCGGUGAAAUUUUAGUACCUGUGAAGAUGCAGGUUACCCGCGACAGGACGGAAAGACCCCAUGGAGCUUUACUGCAGUUUGAUAUUGAGUGUCUGUACCACAUGUACAGGAUAGGUAGGAGUCUAUGAGAUCGGGACGCCAGUUUCGAAGGAGACGUUGUUGGGAUACUACCCUUGUGUUAUGGCCACUCUAACCCGGAUAGGUGAUCCCUAUCGGAGACAGUGUCU